rnacentral:lncRNA from 1 species
GGGUGAUGAAGCUAUAGAAAAUGAAAGCAAAUAAAUGGAGGUGAAAGAAGGACGGGGUGCUACAGUAGAAAUGGAGAAUGCGUGAGGGGGGAGAAAAGGAAAAGAAGAGGGGAGGUGAUGUCGUCGAGAGCAGAAAAGGGGGGAAGAGGAGAGAGAAAGAAUAAAGUAAUGGAGGGGAAGUUGCGGGGUAAUUGCAGUAGAAGGGUUGGCGUAGGUGAGGGGGUGGAAAAGUGGGAGAGAGAGAGAGGGAGAAAAAGAAGAAAGAGAGAAGAAAAGACAACAGAAGAAGUUACCGUAAGUGAGGGGGUGGAAAUUGCGUGCGAAGGAGGGGGAUGCGUGAAGGAGAAGAGAAAGAGGAGAGAGAGAGAAGAAAAAGAAUAAUAGUAAUAUCGUUAUCAUUUUUCUCUUUCUUUCAAUCACCGAUUUUUCAUGCGAUAAUUUUUUUUUCCGAAAUUUCGGGAUGUCACACCUAGGCUACCAAAUAGAUAAAAACCAAUCCAUGGAUUUUUUUUUUUCCUUUUAUGAUCAAGUUUUCAAUGAAACAAAUGCACUCUUAUCAUAUUAUUGUAACAUUUAAUGUAUUGAACUCGCAAUACCUUCUUAAUUGAUUUUUUUUGGGAAAAGUGUCAAUUUAAUCUUUAACUUUUAAUUAUAUCAAUUUAGUCAUAAAACCUUUUAAUCUGAUAUCAAUUCAAUUAUUCUAGCUAAUUUUUGCUAAAUAUUGUUAACGUGGAUAAUUUUUUAAAAUAUAUAUUUUAAUUUUUUUGAAUAUUUUUAUGAAUUUUGUCUUUUCUUUCCUUCUUUUUUCUUCCUUUCUUUUUCCUUCUUCACCUAGGUGAGAGUCAUCGUUGCCUGCUAGAGGCAAGGCUUGAUCGGGUGAGGGCCAAGUGAGGGAUCCCCUCACCCAAGCCAUGGCAACCUUAUUGGGUGUCACCUUUGCUUAGGUGACGGUUGGCCUUACCAGAUCUAGCAAAAGAAGCCCUUGGCUGGUUGAGUGUCACCUUUGGUGAGUAAUGAUAACCCUUGCCCAAGUGAGGCCAACUCACCCGGCUAUGGCCAAUGGCCAAUCAACAACAAAAGGAAGAAGAAAUGAAGAAAAAAGAAAAAAAUAUAUUAUUAAAAAUUAUUCAUGUCAACAAUAUCCCAUUAAAAUUAGUUAAAUUGGCACUAAAUAAAAAUUUUAUAAAUAAAUUGACACAAUUGAAAAGUUUAAAACUAAAUUGGCAUAUAUGUAAUAAGUUUAUGAAUUUUCUAACACUUUUCCCUUGAUUUUUUUUAUAUUAUUACUACACUUUUAUGUCUAAUGUGCAUACCAAAUCACAAUUGUUUCGGGGUGUUUUAAAUUUACAAUGUAAAUAUUUUUAUGAAAUGGUUUUUCAAACUUUCCUGCAUUUAGUUUGUUGAGAGUAUGGUAAAAAGAAAUGCUUUCAUGUUGUUGGAUUGCCAAAAAAACUCUCUAUUGGUAUUCCCUCCUGUUUGUUUAUUUGCUGUGGUAUCACUCUUCAAGUUCUUUUUUUGGAAUGGAGAACCAUUCUCAUGUGAAGUUUUAUGAGAAUUGAAAGAUUAAGUUUGCAAAUGAUUACAUUUAUCUUGUUUUGGCAUCUUUUUUAGGUUGUUUUAUUUCAAUAAAAAAAGGUAAUAUUCGUAUCCAAAAUAUUAGUAAUAUAAUCUUAGUAUCUUAUAUUAAGAACAAAAUAUAAUUAUCAUAAAAAUGAUUAUUUUUUAAAAUAAGAUCUAAACACCAAAAGUCAAUUCAAGUGAAAGUUUCUCUAGCCGGUGUUGUGGUCCAAUCAACAUCCCUCUGUUAAGAAGGCUAUUUCUAUGGUCGCUCAAUAGUACACAUCAAUUGACUUGAGAACAGUGUCAAGAAGAAACACACCCUAAUAUAUUAGCUAGUGAACAUUGAUCUAUGUUCAUCAGCUAAUAUAUAAGUGGAUCUACUCAUGUAUCAAAUCAACUAUGAGGGUAGCAACGCACUAGGUCAAGGCUCGGGUAGGAAGUGGAGGGUGCAAAGGGCUUUGUAGGCUAAGCCUAGAGUGAUUUUUCGGCACGCCCAAAUAGAUAGAGACUAAAUUUUAUGGGCUCAAUCAGUGGCCUAGACCUAAAUCACAAAUUAUUUGGGUGAAUCAGUUCGGUGGGGCUAUUUCAGGUCAAAGCCCAACUUUUCCAAGAAUGAAGUUUGUUUAUUUAUUGUCAAAUUUGAAAACUUCGAUAAGCAACGGACUAAUUAAUGUGAAGUUAUUUAUAACUAUAUAAAUGUCACCUAAAGAAAUGGAAUCUACGCACCUCAAUUUUGAUGGGACAUAAGCUUAGAUUAGGGUAGAGUUAAUUGUCCCGCAAACACAAUCAAAAUAAGACACUGUCAGAACUUGUUUAAGGUUCAAUAAUCAAAUAUAAUUCAUCUACUUAAAUGGCUUAGUGAACUAAUCUCAAAGUUUGGUUUGAUAUAAAUUCAAAGUAAAUAAAAGUAUAGGGGCAAUAUUACACAUUGAACAUACAAUUAAUAAUGAUAGUACUAAUAAAAGGCCAUUGCUUUUGGUGGGAAGAAGUAUUCAGAGUUCACGUAUAAUCACUUGAAAGUGGUGCUUAGACCAGAAAAGAUACUAAAGAUUUGGCCUUUCCUCAGCACGGCUGAGUUUACGUAUGGAACCUUCACCCGUGUUCUCUCGCCAACCCAAAUCGCACGGCCUUAAAUCAUUUGAUUGCACCACACUUGGACUUCGUUUGAUGUCUUGGAUAACACGUGAGGAAUCCGAAUUUGUGGACAGAACUGUGCAACUAUGACGCUGAGUCAAAUUUGAACAGCGGCGAGGAAUAAGCCCCCCGUGGAACAGUCAAUGAAGAUGUGGUCUUCUGAAAACCCUCGUGUUUCAGCCCCCUUUGAGGACCAAGGCCUCUUGGCUCAUCGGAAAUCUAGUUCAUCUAUCCUUACAUCUGCAGAAAGUGCAGAAUCAACCGAUCCACCAAACUCACUAGGUUCAUUCAGUCAUUCUUAUCAUGCGGCUCAUGAUUUCUUGGUGCUCUUGCUUGGUCAUCUUCUGCCUUCUGCAGGCAAGUCAUAGGACCAGCGGUGUAGCUUACAAUAUUACUCCAUCGGAGCCGCUCUUUCCGAACCAAACUCUUGUCUCCUCUGGCAAUAUAUUCGAGCUUGGGUUCUUCACGCUGAGCGGGUCAGAAAAUCAGUAUAUUGGCAUACGGUACAAGAACUUGACGCCUUCUAAGAUUGUGUGGGUGGCCAAUAGGGAACAGCCACUUCCGUACACGGAUCGGUCUGCAAAAUUAACGAUAGGCAGUGAUGGGAAUUUGAAGCUCAUGGAUGGACAAGAAAAUAUAGUUUGGUCUACCAAUGUCUCUAGUCGGUCCAAUUAUACGUUGGCGGUGCUAUUAGAUAGUGGGAAUUUUGUUCUGCAAGAUGGCAUUUAUGGCGAAAUAUGGGGAAGCUUCGAGGAUCCGACAGACACUCUUCUUCCAACAAUGAAGAUAGGAGUAAAUGUCAGGACUGGAGUGAAAAAGUUCUUAAUUUCCUGGAGAAGCGACAGUGAUCCAUUCCCUGGAAGUUUCUCGACUGGAAUGACAUCCGAGACGCCGCCUCAAGCUUUCACUUGGAAUGGUUUGACCCCUUACUGGAGAGGCGGGCAAUGGGACAAAUCGAAAUUUAUCGGCAUAGCAACCAUGGACCAAUCAUACUCGAGUGGCUUCACUGUCCAGCAGGAUACUCAAAAGGGAACCACUUACUAUUCGGUAAAUAGAUACGAUAUCUUUCUAUACAUGUUCAUUUCUCCCGGAGGAUCUCUCACGAUAAUGUACUGGGAUGAUGGAGCUAGGGCAUGGUUGAUGGAUUGGGCAGCACCGAACAAUACUUGUGAGAUUUAUGGAACUUGUGGUCCAUUUGGAGUUUGUAACUCAUUGAAUUCGCCUAUUUGCAGAUGCAUAGAUGGGUUUGUGCCAAAGUCAAAUGAAGAAUGGAACAGUUUAAACUGGACCAGAGGAUGUGAAAGAGAGAUGGAAUUGAAUUGCCAGAAAAACACAAGCACAUCGACUUAUACAAAUGUAAAGAAAGAUGCAUUUUGGCAAAUGAGCCAGAUGAAACUACCCGACUCUGGGAACUAUAUAUCAGACAUUGGAGAUGAAGAAGAAUGUGAAAGCUGGUGCCGGAGCAAUUGUUCUUGCUUGGCUUAUUCUUACGUCAGCACCAUUGGAUGCAUGGUUUGGAGUAAAGACCUCAUUGAUCUUCAGGAAUUUCCCACAGCUGGGGAAGAUCUAUUUGUUCGAGUUGCACAUGUAAAAGCAGGUUAGAAAUUUGUUUCAUUAAGAUGAGUUUGAGUCGACACCAAUCAUCUUUUACAUAACUCUCUUUCCCAUUUCAGGAGGAUCGCGACACAAAGCAGUUAUCAUCAGCCUGAGUACUAUUGCAGGGAUUAUUUUCUUUGCAGUAUUUGUUUUUGUUCUUUGCAAAUGGAGAGCUAACAAAACAGGUACUAUUGAAAAGCUAUAUCAGUGUUGUUAGAGUAAUGUGCACGCUAUGAAAAAAGUAAGCUAAUUCUUCAUCAAUGAUAAACACAGGAAACUUUCGAAGGCUCCUUGACUCAGCAGAUACACCUGAAAAAUCGACCGAGCUGACACAAGGAAAUGCAUGGCAAAAGCAGUUGAAGCAAGAUGAUUCACUGGAAUUGACCCUUUAUAGUUUUGAUAGCAUACUACUUGCUACAAACAAGUUCAGCACGACAAGUAAACUCGGGCAAGGAGGGUUUGGCUCUGUUUAUAAGGUAAGACCAUUCUGCAGGACAUUGUUAAUGAAAAUAUUUCAAGGUCUAAAAGCUAUGUGAAUUACGAAACAGGGGAAGCUGAAAGAUGGGAAAGAGGUAGCUGUGAAAAGACUUUCCAGUACCUCAGCCCAAGGCGUUGAAGAGUUCAAGAAUGAGAUCAUCCUUAUAUCGAAACUCCAGCAUCGAAAUCUUGUUAAACUCGUGGGUUACUGCAUUGAAGGAGAAGAAAAGAUUUUGGUAUAUGAGUACUUGUCGAAUAAAAGCUUGGACACCUUUCUUUUUGGUUGGUCUUUUUUAUUUAUUUAUUUAUCUCGGAUUAACUAUUUUUCUAUAAUGUAUUUUCUGCCAUAGCAUAUAAACUUGAAAACUAUUCCUGUCUGUCAUGUUUGUUAGAUUCAAGAAAGAAGGCAGAACUUGACUGGGGCAAACGAUUUCAAAUAAUUCAGGAGAUUGCAAGGGGGCUGCUCUACCUCCAUCGAGAUUCUUGCCUUAGGGUCAUACAUCGAGACUUGAAAGUAAGCAACAUUCUCUUGGAUGAAAAGAUGAACCCGAAAAUUUCAGAUUUUGGGCUAGCACGAAUGUUUGAGGGCACUCAAGUUUUGGUGAACACUCAAAAAAUUGUUGGAACACUGUAAGCUCUCUAGGCCUAUUUGAAUUAUCAAUUCAUUGAGUCAAUCUCUUCAAGCAGACAGAAAUGAUUGAUUUACCACAACGAACAUCUCUGUUCAUGCAUUUUUAUCCCCAUUGUCUAUCAAUACAAUCAAAGAGUACAUAAACAUGUUUAACUUAACUGCAGUGGCUAUAUGUCUCCUGAGUACGCCAUGGGUGGAAUAUUUUCCGAGAGGUCCGAUGUCUAUAGCUUUGGAGUGUUGCUACUUGAGAUAGUAAGCGGCAAAAAGAACACGGCCCUGUAUGACCAGGGACAUCUGAAUCUCCUUUCCUACGUACGUCCCAAAUUCCAAACUUAAUCAAUAUCGUAAGUUUGCUGCAAUAUUAUGACAGUGUUCUCACUUACAGGCAUGGCAAUUGUGGAGUGAUGGCAAAGCAUUGGACCUAACGGAUGUAGCAAUGGCUGUUAGCUCUCAUUUGGAGGUAACGAGAUGCAUCCAUGUUGGGCUUCUCUGUGUUCAGGACCAUGCCACGGAUAGACCAAACAUGUCGAAUGUGGUUCUGAUGUUAAGUGGCGAGUCAGAUCUUCCUCAGCCGAGGCAGCCUAUAUUCACUUUCCAAGCUGAAAUGCCAAAUCGUUCUAUUCCAUCACAGCAAGAAAGCAUCCGGUCUGUUAACACUAUCACUAAUACAGUGGUCGAAGGAAGAUGACUAUCUAUUUUCAUUUUUCUUUUUCUUUUUUUUGGAGAUGACUUUGUUGUUAUUUUUUAAGAUUUUAGUGUUAAUUCAAUUCAAGGAUGGCUUUAGUCCACUCUGAACAAAAGGUCGAACGGGCUGCUCCCCUUUAUACAAGGAUUUUAGGCUGCAAAGUAGGGGUUUAAAUUGUGUACUUUUUUGACAUAACAUAAUCGAUGCAGCAAUUUGUUCUAAUUUACAGUAGCCAGAACUGUUGUUAUAAUUAAGGAGAACUACCGAGUAAUUGCCAUCACUCUCAUCACCAGUUGUAUUUUGAAGAUUCGAUUUCCUGGGUUUUUGGACAAAAGAUAUCAUUACCAAAGAUAGACUAAAGUCCCCCCAAGAGAAGCAUGAGCAUUGGCAUAGGACAAAGUAUUUCCAGCUUCAGUAUGAUCCCCAUAUAUGAAUUACGUUCUUCAGAGUUGAUAAGAAGUCAUCUAUGCCUGCGGCAAUUAAAUGCCAGCUAGUGAUCAAUUCAUUGACUGAACAAUUCAAGUCGGAAAAGCUUCGCAUGAAAAUGGAAGGCUAAUGUCAGCUAGUGAUCAAAAUCGGAGCUAUGUGAUCCUUAAACUGAAGAGCUGAAGAGUUCCUGAUUUGCUUGGAACCCAUAUAAUAUCUAGCUUCAUUGAACAUUAAACUUGUGGGGAAAAUUACCUUAUUAAUCCUAAACCUUUUGUAGAAAUGCGAAUUCAUUCCUAAUUUUUUUUUUUUUUGAAUUUUGCAAAUUUAGUCCCUAUGCAAAAUUCCAAUGUAGUCAUUCUGGACAAUUUUUGUUGGAAAUCGCUAGAGACGGCGAUGACUAGAUUAUUACGUUAGUGAUUUUUAGCAAAAAUUAGCCGGAAAGACAGAGUAUUUUUUGCAAAGGUUAAAUUGGCAAAAUUGAAAAGUUUUAGACGGAAUUGACAUUUGUGUAACAGAUUUAGGAUUAAUUGGACUAUUUCCCCGAAACUUGUGUUAUUGCAUUGACAAAACAUUUGGCCAACAAGUUUCAUCCGAAGCCGUUUCGACCCCUCUUAUUAUUAUUUGUUCAUUUUAAAGUACAGUCAACUUGGAACAACGGUCAAGAGAAAACGCCGAUUUUAUUGGCUUCUCAUCCAAAAAAACAGUUUUUAAAAGCCAACAUUUGACUCACGAUGAAGCUUCUAUUGCAUAAUCUAGACUGACUUGUCAAAUUGCAAUGACAUCCUAAUCUCUUGGCAUUCUGGAAAUGCAUAUGAACUGGCAUAGGCAUCAUCGGCUUCCGAUAUAAAGCUAAUUUUGUACGAUAACAAGACAUCUGAAGCUAUCUCUAAGAGGAUUUAUGGCCUCACACCUUUGGCAAAGUGUAUCGGUUUGCAAAAAUCUCGCCUUCCUAUUAGAUCUGCAGGCGAAACCGAAAGGCGAAGAAUCGGGAGCCCCUUAACAUCCUGAAGUAAGCAACAACCAAACACAGUAGGCUCCUAUGACAAUGUUGCUUAAGAUGUGUCGCUAUUCUUCCUUGGUCUUGGUCUUCCUUCUUCAGGCACAUCAUAGCACUGCGGUUUAUAACAUUACUGCAGCCGAACCACUCUUUCAUAACCAAACUCUUGUCUCCUCUGGUCAAACCUUUGAGCUCGGUUUCUUCACCCCCAACAGAUCAGCUAAUCAAUAUGUGGGCAUAUGGUACCAGAAUGUGACUCCUUCCAAGAUCAUCUGGGUCGCCAAUAGAUAUACACUUGCUUGCAUAUUUAGAUCAUUCAGCAAAAUUAACAAUAGGCAGGGAUGGGAAUUUGAAGCUUGGUGGACGAGCAAUAGAAGGUAGUUUGGUCCACCAAUGUUUCUGUUCAGUCAAACUAUACUACAACAAUGCUUUCAGAUGUAGGAAACUUCGUUCUACAAGACAGGAAUUCCAUUGAAAUAUGGGCAAGCUUUGAUGAUCCAACUGAUACUUGAUAAAGCUAGUACUAACACCUAGAUGGGGUGAAUAGGUAUUUGAAAGAAAUCUUAACAAAUAAAAUAAAUUGCUCACAAAGUCUAGAUGAAAAUCAGAAUCACGAGAUUCCAAACUUCUAUGAUGUUCAGAAGGUGUGCAAUAGACUUUAAAUGAAUGAGAUAAAAAGAGAAAUGUACACACAAAUUUUAUAGUGAUUCAGCUUAAAUCAAGCCUACGUCCACUCUCCCACGCUGACAGCCUACUCGCUAGAUUCUACUAUAUGAUCAAUCAAGAAGUUACAACUUGGUGAGCAAAUAGUCAAUGAUAGAAAUUUUCUAACUCAGAGAUUUUUUUUUUUUUUUCUCUCUAGAUCACACUUUUUAAAGCUCAUAGAUGAAAACUAAUAAAAUGAGAGUAGCCUUAGACUUUGGAAUCUCAAAUUCACAUUCCCACACCGAAUAAACUCCUUUAAAUACUCAUUCACCCCAUACUAGCCUCUAGUAAUCUUUGGAGAAACUUUUUUCUAAUCAAGCUGUUGGACAUAAUCAAUUAAAGGAAUCUUGUGGCUGUUGAAGUUAGGAAUAUAAUUUCACUUGAUUUUGUUCACCCAUAUAAUCAUAAUCUUGGUUUCCAUAAAUAGAUACUUCCCAAGAAGAAAGUUGUCUUCAAGAUUGAUUUCAUCAAUUUGUGAUUGAUUUUAUCAACGAAUUUAUAUAAGGUAAGUGAAAUCCUUCGCUAGAAAGCUAGACAACGUAGAAUAAUUUCCUAAUAAGUUCAUUAUGGAUCUGUGUCGCAAAAUUGAUAAGUUUGAAUUUGUACUCUUCCUCAUUCUGGACACGAUCUCGUUCUGGACUUUGUUAGAAUGGGAAGAGUUUCUGAGAAUGAAUAGACUUUGCUAGAGGCAAGGCCUGAUUAGGUGCUGGCAAACCCUAGUGAGGGAUCCCCUCACCCAAGUCAUGGUAACCUUGUUGGGUGUCACCUUUGCUUAGGCAACACUCAGUGAGGGCUAGCCUUGCCAGAUCUAACAAAAGGAGCCCUCGCCUGAUCGAGCGUCGCCUUUGGUGAGUGACAGUAACCCUCACCCAAGUGAGGCCAACUCACCCGGCUAUGGCCAGUGGCCGAUCACCGACAAAAGGAAGAAGAAAAGAAGAAAAAAAAUUAUUAAAAAUUAUUCAUGUCAAUAACAUCUAGUUAAAAUUAGUCACUUGAUCGAGCGUCGCCUUUGGUGAGUGACAGUAACCCUCACCCAAGUGAGGCCAACUCACCUAGUAAUGGUCAGUGGCUGAUCACUGACAAAAGGAAGAAAAAAAAUUAUUGAAAAUUAUUAAUGUCAAUAAUAUCCGAUUAAAAUUAGUUAAAUUGACAAUAAAUCAAAAAAUUUAUAACUAAAUUAACACGAUUGAAAGAUUUAAAACUAAAUUGGCACAAAUGUAAUAAGUUUAUGAUUUUUCUGACACUUUUCCCUUGAUUUUUUUGUAUCAUUACUAAACUCUUACCAAAUCACAAUUUUUUUUGGGGUGUAGUUAAUUUACAAUGUAAAGAUUUUUAUAAAAUGGUUUUUCAAACUUUCCUGUAUUUAGUUUGUUGAGAGUACGGUAAAAAGAAACGCUUUCAUGUUUUUGGAUUGCCAAAAAAACUCUCUAUUGGUAUUCACUCCUCUUUGUUUAUUUACCAUGGUAUCACUAUUCGAUUUCUUUUUGGGAAUGGAGAACCAUUCUCAUGUGAAGUUUAUGAGAAUUGAAAGAUUAAGUUUGUAAAUUAUUACAUUUAUCUUUUUUGGCAUCUUUUUUAGGUUGCCUUGUUUCAAUAAAAAAAAGUAAUAUUAAUAACUGUCGCGGCCAAUUUUUCGGGUUCACCACCUAAAACUAGGUUAAUGGACUAUUGAGCUUUUUAAACUUAACUCGGGCUCUCCUAAGCCCAUACCAAUUCGCGACUUAGGUUUGAAUUUUUAACAUGCAAGAGGUUAUUCUCUAGGAGUCGCCACUAAUCGGUUUAGGAUAAGUCGAUUAGACACCUAAGUAAAAUAAAUAGAGAUUUAUUUUACUCAUACGAACCAAAGACUGAGGGUACAAUGACUUGAUUACACUAGAUUUCUCUAAUGCCCUUUCGGUACCAUUUCUUUUUAAUUUUUCAAAAUGUUUUUGCAAGCAGCUGAUUUAUUUUAACCUAAAUUACUAUCAUGCAAAUAUGGUGACCACACGGGUGCUCAUCCAUUAUUAAAACAUUCAAAUGAAUUGCAUCACACAAGGCAAGCAAUCAUUUUUUUUUUUUGAGUUUUCUUAAAAAUUAGAAUUCUUUUAUGAAAAUGCAUUUUAAAACCAAAUGACUUUAUCUUAUUAAUAUGCAAAUUUUAAUUAAAUGGGCCUGUUAUGCAAACUAAUUAUUAUGCACCUCAUGACCUAACUUCACUAAUUAACAAGUUAUGAUUAAAUAAUCCUAUUAUGCAAACUAGUUAACAUGCACCUAGUAUUUUUGCAUUUUUUUAUUAUUGAAAUUCAGAAUUCAUGAAAACCUUAAUUAAUCUAUCUAAAAAUGAUAAUUUUCUAAUUUAUUCUAGGGAUUAGUUUGACUUAAACCCUAUCCUAUCUUAGAAAGCUAUUUUUUUUUUUUGGGAAAAUGAGAUAAUUAGAAUAUGCGAACAUUAUCUAAAACCCUAAAAAAUAUUUAGGUUCAACCCUAACUUAUUCCUAAAAAUGCAAUCUUAAAAAUGCAAUCCUAAGAAAAUCCUAAUGCUUGAUUUACUAAACUUAUAUACUCAUGCAGAAUUUUGAUUUUUUUUUAUCUUAUGAUUUUUUAGUUUUUUUUAAGAGAUAAGUAAUUAUUAAAUCUAAACUAUCAACAAAAUCAAGCAAGAAAUGAUUAAAAUAAUCGAAAAAAUAACAUGUUGUCUCACAGGUCAAAUUAACAGUUAUUCUAACCCUAAUUAUCAUAGCAAAGAGAUCAAAAUAAUUACAAAUCUAAUCCGAAGUCUUACGGACCAAAUUAAAUAAUUAUUGUGAUUUAAUAAUUAAAAUCUCACUAAAAAGCCCAACAAUUAAAAUAAUUAAAAAAAAAUGAUCCAAUGUCUCUUUGAUCAAAUUAAUAAUUAUAAUAAUUCCAGACAAAAUCCCAGCGGAUAAUGCAUACUAAAUUCACAAAUAUUAACAUCAAAUAUUACAACUUAAAUAGAUAAAGUAAAAUGAGAUAAAAUAGAACAAAAUAAAUAAAAGAAAAAGCUAAACCACCUAAAGAAAGAGGGGCUUGCUGCAGAUGGGCGCCGGACGGACGGUGGUCGGCGUCGGGUACUGCAGGUCAGCGACGGCAAGGUGGCGCGGGAGGUGCAGGAACGGGCGUCGGGUCGAGCAGCGAGAGGGCUCGCGGGCGUUGCGGGUCGCAGGCUGCUGCACAGCGAUGCUCGCGGGUGCUGGUGCGUGGAGCAGGGGCGGAUGUCGAGGCAGAGAUCGGCGGAGGGCGAUUUGCAGAGGUGGGUUGCGUACGGACCGGGACCUGCUGUCUUCGGAGGGCCGCGACGUCGAGCACGGCGAGAACAGGGAGAUCGGCGAGCAGCAGGGGCUGGCUAGUUGCAGAGGCGCAGCGGCACCAGGCUCUGAGCGGAUGCGUAGGCGGAGGCCGAGGCGUCACGAGCCGUGGACGGCUCGAUCAGUGCGGGUUGCAGGCGAGGCACUACAGAGCUCAGGGCAACGACGUCAGCCGUCGCGGCUGGCUUCGGGGCGGCAAGCGGCGCGGUGGACUUCGGCUAUGGAGAUGCCGUGGUGGAGGCGCAAGCAGGGACCGACGGUGGGCGCAGCGGGCUACUGGUUGGCGCUUGGGUCGUCGUGAGUCGGUGCGGACGGUCUCCAGUGGCAACGGGUCACCGGAAUCGUGGAUCGGCGCGGCACGAACGGGAGAGCUCGGGCGGACACCGGUAGGGCUUCGAGCGAGGCGGUCGCGGCUAGCCUCGGCUUCCAAGCGGCGUCGGCGUGGCGAGACAGCGGCGUCCGGCGGGCAGGAGACGGAGCACGGGCAGACGGCGGCAAGUCAGCGGAGAAGAAGAACAUUAUUCGUCUUCCUCUUUUUUAAUUUUUCUUUUUUCCUCCUGUCUCUCUCUCUCUCACCUGUCUCUCUCACGUCACUUUCCCUCUGUUUUCUUCACUUUUCUGCAUAAGCUUUUUGCUUUUUUCUGAAUUUUUUUUCUCCCCAGAAGCUCCUCCCGGUCCUCGUACUCGGUUGCUUUUAUAGGGGUAGGAGAUAAGCUUUCGAUUUCCCCUUCAAAUCUACAUCCGCGAUACAUUUUCACCAACCGAUCACUAUUGAUAAAAAUUUAAGAUUACGAUAAAUAUUUUCUCAAAAUUCAAAUCUCGCAAAGAUAAAUUGCAAUAUCGCAAUAUUUUUUCACAAAAUUCAUCCCAUACUGAUAAAAAUUCAAGAUUAAGAUGAGAUUUUUUUAAAUCCAAAUCUUUCAAAGCCAAAUCGCAAUAUUGUUUUACCCAUCUGCCAUAUCUAAAAAAGAUUCAUAUCUCGGAAAAAUUUUAAAAUAUUAUAUUCCCAUGAGAUAAUUUUUUAAUUAUUAAAAAACGCGGGCUUGGGCCAACCUGCUCGCUUCGUGGGCCUGAUCCAUCUAAUUCGAACUCAUCCGCCACCGGUCCCAAAAUAUGCAAAUAACAAAAUAAAUGCAAUCUAAAUCUAUAUGAUAUGCAAUUAAUAAAAUUAACCCCUAAUUUCCUAUGCAAUAAAUAACUAAACGGAUAGCCAAAAUUUAGGUGUCAACAAUAACUAAAAUUUUAGUAACAUCAUCUUAGUAUCUUAUAUUAAGAACAAAAUAUAAUUAUCAUAAAAAUGAUAAUUGUCUAAAAUAAGAUCUAACCACUGAAACCCGAUUCAAGCGAGAGUUUCUCUAGUCGGUGUCGUGGUCCAGUCAAUGCCCCUUUGUCAAGAAGGCUGUUUCUAUGGUCACUCAAUAGUACACAUCAACUGUCUUGAGAACACAGUGUCAAGAAGAAACGCACCCUAAUAUAUUAGCUAGUGGACAUAGAUUUAUGUUCAUCAGCUAAUGUAUAAGUAGGUCUACUCAUGUAUCGAGUCAACUAUGAGAGUAGCAAUGCACUAGGUGAAGGCUUAGGUAGGAAGCAGAGGGUGCAAAGGGCUUUGCAGGGUAAGCCUUGAGCGAUUUUUCGAUGAGCCCAAAUAGAUCGAUGAUAUAGCUAGGUAUAAGCACCUAAAGGGGGGGUGAAUAGGUGUAAAAAUAAUUUCUCGAGAUAUGAAAGCAAUACUAGGCAAACAAUAGAAAGAAAGCUCUAAUUUAGUUAACAAAACGAACUAUGAACAAACUAAAACAGAGAGUAGGGAAGAGAAAAUUGAACACAAGAUUUAUAGUGGUUCGGCUUAUUCCAAGCCUAUGUCCACUCUUCUGCACUGAUAGCCCACUGGCUGGAUUUCACUAUGAACAAAAGAGAUGUUACAGCACUGUUUUCCCUUGAUUCCACAGUGUAGAUAUUUUACCACACUUUCUCAAGGUAUCUCAAAAUAUAGACUCUCUUUUGCGUACAAUAUUUCGCUCAGAAAAUGAAUUAACUAAGAAUCAAAGAGCUUCAGACUUUGGAAUUCUUCUAUCGUGCACUUCCUCGAACAACUGGAACGUCUUCCUUUUAUACUCCUUUGUGCCAUCAUACCCGUUGGUACUUACCAAAGAAAUUCUUCAAAUCCUCCCGUUGGACGGAAUCAAUUAUGAAGAUUAUUCGAGCUAUUAAAGGAACAUGUCGAUAGCCCAUCAAUCCUGCUUGCCCAUACAAUCAGGAUUUUGGUUUCCAUAAGUAGAACCUUCUAAGAAUACUUCGCCAAUAAUCGGAUCUUUAAUUAUUCUUGAUUUGAAUAAAGGAAUCCGUUAUGUCAUAUCCAGCCAAGAGAUAUUCUCUAGUCGAUAAGGCCAAAUCCUUAAUGAAAUAGUUCUGGAUAGCCUUUCUUCAACAGAUUAGAAUCUGUCAAUGAGAAUAGAUUUUGAGUCUUGAAUCUGAUAGUACGGAGAUCUUUAGAUUUUAAUAAUAGAGUCUGCAAAACUUCAGACUAGACUGAUAGAAUCGUUUUGUCAACUUCAAAAUAUUCCAGAAGGAUUUCUCCAACAAUCGAGACUAAAUUUUAUAGGCUCAAUUAGUGGCCUAAAUCACAAAUUUGGCUGAAUUAGUUCAGUUCGGUGGGGCUAUUUCAGGUCAAAGCCCGACUUUUCCAAGAAUGAAGUUUGUUAAUUUAUUGUCAAAUUUGAAAACUUCGACAGGCACAAUCGAAAUAAGCCUUUAAGGUACUAUGAGAACUUGUUUAAGGUUCAAUAAUCAAAUCUAACUCAUCUACUGAAAUUGCUUAGUGAACUCAUCUCAAAGUUUGGUUUGAUCUAAAUUCAAAGUAAUUAAAAGUAUAAGGGCACUAUUGCACAUUGAACGUACAAUUAAUAAUGAUAGAAUACUAAAAGGCCGUUGAUUUUGAUUAGAAGAAGUAUUAAGCGUUCACGUACAAUCAUUUGAAGGUAGUGCUUAGACCUCUCCUCAGCACUACUGUGUUCACGUAUGGAACCUUCACCCGUGUUCUCUCGCCAACCCAAAUCGCAUGGCCUUUGAUUGCACCACAGUUGGACUUCGUUCGAUGUCUUGGUUAACGCGUAAGCAAUCCGAAUUUGCGAACUGAAAUGUGAACUGUGACGCUGAGUCAAAUUUGAACAACGGCGAGGAAAAACCCCCACGUUGAACAGUCAAUGAAGAUGUGGUCUUCGGAAAACCCUCGUGUUUCAGCCCCCUUUGAGGACCAAGGCCUCUUGGCUCAUCGGAAAUCUAGUUCAUCUAUCCUUAAAUCUGCAGAAAGUGCAGAAUCAACCGACCCACCGAACUCACUAGGUUCAUUCAGUUAUUCUUAUCAUGCGGCUCAUGAUUUAUUGGUGCUCUUGCUUGGUCAUCUUCUGCCUACUUCAGGCAAGUCAUAGGGCCAGCGGUGUAGCUUACAAUAUUACUCCAUUGGAGCCGCUCUUUCUGAACCAAACUCUCGCCUCCUCUGGCAAUAUGUUCGAGCUUGGGUUCUUCAGGCCGAGCGGGUCAGAAAAUCGGUAUGUUGGCAUAUGGUACAAGAACUUGACGCCUUCUAAGAUCUUGUGGGUCGCCAAUAGGGAACGGCCGCUUGUGUACACAGAUCAGUCUGCAAAAUUAACGAUAGGCAGUGAUGGGAAUUUGAAGCUCAUGGAUGGACAAGAAAAUAUAGUUUGGUCUACUAAUGUCUCUAGUCGGUCCAAUUAUACGUUGGCAGCGCUAUUAGAUAGUGGGAAUUUUGUUCUGCAAGAUGGAAAUUAUAGCGAAAUAUGGGGAAGCUUCGAGAUCCGACAGACACUCUUCUUCCAACAAUGAAGAUAGGAGUAAAUGUCAGGACUGGAGUGAAAGGGGACUAUAUAUCAGACAUUGGAGAUGAAGAAGGAUGUGAAAGCUGGUGCCGGAGCAGUUGUUCUUGCUUGGCUUAUUCUUACGUCAGCACCAUUGGGUGUAUGCUUUGGAGUAAAGACCUCAAUGAUAUUGAGGAGUUUCCCACAGCUGGGGAAGAUCUAUUUGUUCGAGUUGCAAGUGUAAAAGCAGGUUAGAAAUUGUUUCACUAAGAUGAGUUUGAGUCGACACCAAUCAUCUUUUAUAUAACUCUCUUUCCCAUUUCAGGAGGAUCGCGACACAGAGCAGUUAUCAUCAGCCUAAGUACUAUUGCAGGGAUUAUGUUCUUUGCUGUAUUUGUUUUUGUUCUUUGCAAACGGAGAGCUAACAAAAGAGGUACUAUUGAAAAGCUAUAUCAGUGUUAUCAGAGGAUUGUGCACGCUAUGAAAAAAGUAAGCUAAUUCUCCAUCAAUGAUAAACACAGGAAACUUGAACAAAAUUGGAGGGCUCCUUGACUCAGUAAAAACACCUGAGAAAUCGACCGAGCUGACACAGCGAAAUGAAUGGCAAGAGCAGUUGAAGCAAGAAGAUUAACUGGAAUUGACCCUUUAUAGUUUUGAUAGCAUACUACUUGCUACGAACAAGUUCAGCACAACAAGUAAACUUGGGCAAGGAGGGUUUGGCUCUGUUUAUAAGGUAAGACCAUUCUGCAGGACAUUGUUAAUAAAAAUAUUUUAAGGUCUAAAAGCUAUGUUAAUUGCAAAACAGGGGAAGCUGAAAGAUGGGAAAGAUAGCUGUGAAAAGACUUUCCAGUACCUCAGCCAAAGGCGUUGAAGAGUUCAAGAAUGAGAUUAUCCUUAUAUCGAAACUCCAACAUUGAAAUCUCGUUAAACUCAUGGGUUACUGCAUUGAAGGAGAAGAAAAGAUUUUGGUAUACGAUUACUUGUCGAAUAAAAGCUUGGACACCUUUCUUUUUGGUUGGUUGUUUUUAUCUCGGAAUAACUAUUUUUGUAUAAUGUAUUUUCUGCAAUAGCAUUCAAACUUGAAAACUUUGUCUGUCAUGUUUGCUAGAUUCAAGAAAGAAGGCAGAACUUGACUGGGGCAAACGAUUUCAAAUAAUUCAGGGGAUUGCAAGGGGGCUGCUCUACCUUCAUCGAGAUUCUUGCCGUAGGGUCAUACAUCGAGACUUGAAAGUAAGCACAUUAUCUUGGAUGAAAAGAUGAACCCGAAAAUUUCAGAUUUUGGGCUAGCACGAAUGUUUGAGGGCACUUAAGUUUUGGUGAACACACAAAAAAUUGUUGGAACAUUGUAAGCUCUCUAGGCCUAUUUGAAUUAUCAAUUCAUUGAGUCAAUCUCUUCAAGCAGACAGAAAUAUUUACCACAACGAACAUCUCUGUUCAUGCAUUUUUAUCGCCAUUGUCUAUCAAUACAAUCAAAGAGUACAUAACAUGUUUAACUUAACUGCAGUGGCUAUAUGUCUCCUAAGUACGCCAUGGGUGGAAUAUUUUCCGAGAGGUCCAAUGUCUAUAGCUUCGGAGUGUUGCUACUGGAGAUAGUAAGCGGCAAAAAGAACACGUCCCUGUAUGACUAGGGAUAUCUGAAUCUCCUUUUUCCUAUGUAAGUCCCAAAUUGCAAACUUAAAUCAAUAUUGUAAGUUUGCUGCAAUAUUCUGACAGUGUUCUCACUUACAGGCAUGGCAAUUGUGGAGUGAUGGCAAAGCAUUGGACCUAACGGAUGUAGCAAUGGCUGUUACCUCUCCUUUGGAGAUAACAAGAUGCAUCCAUGUUGGGCUUCUUUGUGUUCAGGACCAUGCCACGGAUAGACCAAACAUGUUGAAUGUGGUUCUGAUGUUAAGUGGCGAGUCAGAUCUUCCUCAGCCGAGGCAGCCUAUAUUCACUUUUCAAGCUGAAAGGCCAAAUCAUUCUAUUCCAUCACAACAAGAAAGCAUCCGGUUUGUUAACACUAUCACCAAUACAAUGGUCGAAGGAAGAUGACGACUAUUUAUUUUCAUUUUUAUUUUCUAUUUUUUUAGAUGACUUUGUUGUUAUUUUUUAAGAUUUUAGUGUCAAUUCCAUCCAAGGAUGGCUUAAAGUCCACUCUGAACAGAAGGGUCGAAUGGGCUGCUCCACUUUAUACAUGGAUUUUAGGCUGCAAACUAAAGGUUUAAAAUGUAUACUUUUUUGACAAAACAUAAUCGACGCAGCAAUUUGUUCUAAUUUAUAGUAGCCAAAACUGUUGUUAUAAUUAAGGAGAACUACCAAGUAAUUGCAUCACUCUCACCACCAGUUGCAUUUUGAAGAUUCGAUUUCCUGGGUUUUUGGACGAAAGAUAUCAUUACCAAAGAUAGACUAAAGUCCCGCCAAGAGAAGCAUGAACAUUGGCACGGGACAAAGUAUUUCCAGCUUCAAUAUGAUUCCCACAUAUGAUUUACCUUCUUCAGAUUUGAUAAGAAGUCGUCUAUGCCAGCGGCAAUUAAAUGUCAGUUAGUGAUCAAUUCAAUGACUGAACAAUUCAAUUCGGAUAAGCUUCGCAUUUAAAUGGAAGGCUAAUGUCAGCUAGUGAUCAAAAUCGGAGCCAUGUGAUCCUUAAACGGAAGAGCUAAAGAGUUCCUGGUUUGCUUGAAAACCCAUAUAAUGUCUAGCUUCAUUGAACAUUAAUUUCUAAAAGAGAAAUAACGAUUUGAUAAUGAUAUAAAAUUUCUACCCUAAAAAUAGAAAUUUGUUUGAUAUUAACACAAAAUUUCUUUUUUCGAAUAGAGGCAGACUGGCGAACGGCGGCGGACAAGCGAUCGGCAGUGUUUGACGACAGCGGGCGGCAGGUGGCAUUGGGCGAUCGGUGGCAACCAGCGACUAGCGGCGGUCAAUGGCGAUCGGCGGUUGGCAACCAGUGAUCGACGGUCGAUGGUUGGCGACGACGAAUGAAGUACCGAUUGAUGAACGAUGAAAAUAAUUUUUAUUUUUCAUUUCUAUUCUAGAAAUAGAGAAGUAUAAAAUUUUUACUACUGAUUUCUAUUCAAAACCAAUUUCUUGAACAAAAAUUUAUUUCAAAAAUAGAAAAGUGGAAUAAUUCUAUCAAACGAAUUUCUAUUUUAGAAACAAUUUUAGAAUAGAAAAAUUGUUUUUGGAACAAAAACAUGUGAUUGUCAUGCACCCCCUAAACCUGUGGGGAAAAUUACAUUAUUAAUCCUAAACCUACUGUGGAAAUGUAAAUUCAUCCCUAUAAUUUUUUAAUUUUGCAAAGUUAGUCCCUACGCAAUAUUCCAAUGUAGUCAUUAUGAACAAUUUUUUUUGGAAAUUGCCGGCAACGACAAUGACUAGAUUAUUACAUUAGUGAUUUUUAGUAAAAAUUAGCCGGAAAGACAACCUAUUUUUUGUAAAUGUUAAAUUGGCAAAAUUGAAAAGUUUUAGAUGGAAUUGACAUUUGUGUAAACAGAUUUAGAAUUAAUUGGACUAUUUCCGCGAAACUUGUGUUAUUGUGUUGACAAAACAUUUGGCCAACAAGUUUCAUCCGAAGUCGCUUUGACCCCUUCCGGGCAUGCUUUGUGAGCAAAUCGCACAACUCGAGCCACAACCUAUGCUUGGUCUUACCCUUAAUCGAGAAAAACUGAUCGUCGUUCAGCACUGACGCCAGCCUCUCCGCCGCCUCUUGCCACAGCUUCGAAUUAACCAAGAACUCGACGAAAUCCUCAAUGUGGGUGGGGUCAGACGUCAAGUAGCUCCUGUAAACUCUGAGCGGAGUCUCGAUGGGCAUGCCCCUCUGGCUGACGAACACCAGGUAGGGCUCCCAGAUACGGUCGUGCUGCGUGACGGGGAGCGCGCAGAGCGCCCGGUCGAAGGUCCGCCGGGUGCGGGUGACCAGCUUCUGCACCGUGAGGGUCUGGAGGUACAUGAUCCAAAUCCGGGGCAUCUUGUGCAUCGUCACCAGGGCACGCUCGAACGUGUUGUCCAGGGUCUCGUACUGGGAGUGGGUGAUGGGGAGGCUCCGGACGAUCUCGAGGCGCUCCCGGAGGUAGGCGUGCCAGAGCUUUUAGCUGCCGGGGAGGGCCUUGAGGGCGCGCUCGUAGAUGACGAAGCGCUUCUUGAAAGGGGAAUCGGCCCGGGCGAUGAGGUAGCGCCACCACAGCUUGAGGCUGAAGGGGUUGCGCAGGAGUUCCUCCUCGUAGAGCAGGUCGUCCUGCGACGGGUAGAGCUCCUUGGGUAUCGACAUCGCCGGAACCCGGAAAGACCCAGAAAAACCCUCGAGCGCCCGGAGAGGGAGGAGGCGGAAAGCGACAAUCUUGCGCGCGGCGGCGGUGCCGGGAGAGAGAAUUCGAUCGGAACUUCCGGAGUCCGGCGAGAGGGGUAGCGAGGGAGGUCGGUCGUCGCUCUUUCUCUCGCCGGGAAAUCAACGGCGGCGGCGCGCCAUGAGCGGGAGGAGGCUGCGGCGGGGGAAAAGCCCUAGUCUUUCCGGCAAGGAGGAUGGUGAAUUUGGGGAUCUUCGCAGCAAUGGCGUCUCUCUCUCUCUAUCUCUCUAUCUCUGUGAUCUCGCAGAGGUCGAAUUGCGGGAGGAAGAAGAGGGAUUUGGUGUUUUGCUCUCAGUAUUCUUCAGCACAAUUACUUCUGAGUUCAUUAUCUUCUUAUAAAUCCGUGAACAUGGCCCUAAUGGGCGAGAAUUACCCAUUAAAAGACCGAUUGCAAAAAAUUGAAACUAACACCUUCUUAUUUGUUGGACCACCAGUUUAGCCCCGUUUUCGAGUAAGUCCAUAAACCAGUCCUAUUCCUUACAAAGCUUAUUGUGGCCUUAUAAUCGGGUUAAAUUGCAAGCCAUUAAAUUUGAUUCAUAAUUAAAAACUAUAAGGCAAAAUGAACAAAUACUACUCGCUAACUAAAAACUUAAUCUCUUCGAAAGUCAUGGUAUGUUCCUCUGAAGGUUUCCCGAUACUAGAUAUAUGCGAAGAACAUUGAUCGCUUGAUUCAUUUUUUUUAACAUCAAUCUAAUUUAUUUAAUUAUACUCUUAAAACAAGCUAUUGGCUUUUAUGGACACGUUCUCUCCUUCCUCUCCCUUUGUUCAUUUUAUUUUGAUUGAGAAAGCAAAUAAAUGGAUUAUUAGAAUGAAAAGAAGAAGAAGAAGAAGAAGUAGGGGGUUAAUUCUAUUACAUACCCAAAAGAUAAAAUUAGUCAAUAAUUUUUUAUAAUUACAAAUGUAUAUGUACAUAUAUAUUUGGUUGAAAAAUUAAAAAAUAAUGAAGUGAUUGAGAUGAAUUUCUUUUUUAAACAUAUAUAUAUAUAUACACUACUAUGGUCUGGUUGGGUAAGUGGGCAAUUUCACGCCAAGAACCGGAUCGACUCCCAUGGGAAUUGUUGGUUUUGGUCCUAUCCAAACUAGUUCCGACUAGUUCAAGUAGUUCUCAAUUCUUUUACACACUCUUAGCUUUUAAAGACGUGUUUGAUAACCGGUCAAUUUUUAACUAUUUCUGAAAAAAAAAAAAGAAUAUAAAUCAAUUUGGUAAAGUAAACUAAUUUUUCUAUUCCCAGGAAUAGAUCAGUGGUAAAGGAAUAAAUUUGAAACAUGAUUCAAAACUAGAAAAAUGUUUUUUUUUUAUUCUCAAGAACGAUUUUACAAUAAAUUCAUUUUCUUUUUUAUUCUUUUCUUCUUCCUCCUCCUUUAAUUGGUUGCUGGUCUCAGCAAUGGUUUGGUGACCUCAUUGAAGCCUCAUUGACCCUGGGCACCAGCCAUUGCCGAGGGGCAACCAACUAUAGGAAGAAGAAGAAAAAUAGGAAAAAAGAUAAGCAAAAAGAAAAAUCUCAACAAAAAAAAAUUAAAAGAUAUUUUACUUCAUACAAAAAAUUGAGGGUAAGACUAAAUGCAUUUAUAUAAUUUUUUUCUAUUUCAGGAAUAAAAAUUUUGUGCAUUUAUCAAACACGUUUAAAUUCUCAAAAAUUUGUUCAAUAAUAGCAUCCGAAAAAACUAUUUGUGACCAGAAAUCGUUUUCAAAAAUAGCAUGGUUAUCAGACGUAUCAUAAGACCCGUUUGGUCAAAGAAAAACUACUUUCUGAAAAUUAUAUUUCAACUUUUCAGUAUUUGGGUGAUCGAAAAUAAAUAAAAGCGUUUUCCAUUAAUUAAAAACAACAACCUUAGAUUGGGAGAAAUUGAAGGAAAAUCACUUUUCCAAGGCUCCUUGCGUCAUGACUCGAACUCUGGGCACAUGCACAUCCCUCAAUGGUCGAUGAAAAUUUGCAACAUCCUAGGAAUUGUUGUUGAUUCAUUCAUUAUUUUGCGCAUGCAGAAACAUAAAACAAUCUCCAUACAACAUAACGGUAGGAUAGAAACGUAGGAUAAUAUUUUCACAAACCACAUCUAUAAUACAGUAGUACUUAUAUACAAAGUGAAGCUAUUCGGCUACCUACGCGCUAAGCUUCCAUUUACAAGUUUGCUAUUACACUAUCAUACUUCUCGACCUCUGUAGGGUGAACUGUCACCCAUCAUCCAGCCUUGACGGAAGACCCGUCACCACAUGAGAGAAGAUAGCGAGAAACCUACACUUCCCUUCUUGUAGACCCUUGUACACAACCUGGAAUUCCUCCAUCUAGGGGCCUGAAAAUUUUAACCCACUAAGGGGUGAGAUAACAUCUUAGAGAGUUAAUCCCCUAAAUCCAAAGUAGGAGAAUGGUACACUCUACAUGCAAUCUAAUCACGUUUCUCAUAACUCUUUUCAUACCAGUCUUUCCUUGCAUGUUAGUGCCGAUCAAAUCAUACAUACAGUAUCGAGUUUUCACAUCAUAUGAAUACCGUAACACGAGUAUGUGUAAAGACAUAAAUAUCAACAUAAGUAUACGGGCCCCCAAUUACCAGACUAAACCGUUAUGGCACGUCCCAUACUGCACCACACAGUUCCGUCUUUUAAUUAGGUCCCUCCCUUUCACUUAUUCAUGUGUCAAAAUUGAUUUCAAUACACAAAUAACAGUCUUCCGGCAUAAUCGAGUAUCGUCUCGCACUAUCGAGCACUGCAACUUCUACAUUUAGAUGGCAUUCCAUAUAGGAGCAUCAGCUCAGCCUCCACUGCGACCAGCAUCCGUUGACGUGGGGCAUUCUCGAAAGAGCAUCAUCUGGCCCCAAAGGCUCGUGACGAAGUCUCAUGUCAUGUAUGCAUUAACUCAAUAUCACAAUUCUAAAAUCAAUUGCACAUUUAAUUCAUAACAUCAUUUGAGCAAUUUUCCAGCAAGAAACACUUAGAGAACAAUUACAAUCGGAAUUAGCAGAAACUGUCCACUUGUGCCCUUUCAAGUUUAACACCAGAAACCAUCUCAAAUGAGUUCAAAAAAUUCUCAAACUUGAACAUGUGAUAAAGAAUAUGUAAAAAAAACAUUUUUUAUGAAGGCACCGAGACUCAGAUCCUUAUGGAUUUGGCCAAGUAAUUCACUCAAUCCAGCACUAAAAUCGGGUCCGUUUCCAGCGGUUCUGGUUUUCGAAAUUAGCUUGGUUCGGGGUUUGAAAUAGGCUUAUUUGGUCUGAAAUUCGAGUAUGUUCAACUAGAAGAUAUAACAAACAACUUUUCUGAAUAACUUAUUUUUAAAAAUCGAACCCGAAGGGUUAGUAACAACCCAUAGAAUCCUUACAGGUCGCAAAUUCCAGUGCAGUUUGAGUUUCUAUUUAAAGACAACGAAGCCAAAAUAAUUUUCCUUUAAAUCCUCAAAAAUCUUGAGAAAAAUAUAUGUUAUAAUUGAAGAUGUGAAAAACAUUUCUUCAGAAGGAAAUUUCUUCAAAAUCGCAACAUAUAUCAGUCUACAAAAAUAACAAAUUGCGCAUGUCCAGAAAACAGUUUCAAGAAACAGCCCCUAUCUUUGGCUGAAUCAUCCUAUACGGUUCUUAUUUUAUCCUUUAAACCACAACUAAGCCUUUCUAUGGCUAAUCUAACGUUUAUAACUAACACCCAACCAUAUGUAAUAUCAUCUACACCUUUCUUACUUGGAUGAAUCACUAAGGGGGUGAUUGGUUCAGCUUUCCCAAGGGGCUUUGAGCCCCCAAAGCCCCUUGGGAAAAAUUAAAGGGUGUUUGGUUCGGCUUUUGAAUGCUCUUUGGCAAAAUGUUUGCCUUUGGAAUGCUGAUGGGAGGAUUAAUGAAUUUUUGCUUAUUACCCAUUUUACCCUCAAAAUUUUAUUAAAAGUCCAAUUUUAUCUUAUACAAAACAAACCCUAACUUUUUUUAGGCUUUUCUCACGCUACGCUCUCUCACGCAACACUCUUCCUCAUCGCUCUCUCUCCCUGCAACUCGACGGCUCUCUCUCUCCUUGCAACUCGACGGCUUUCUUCUUCGUCGCUUCCCUCCCUGCAACUCGACGGCUUUCUUCUCCGUCUCUCUCUCUCCCUGCAACUCGUCGACAGCGGUCCUUCUCGGUUUUGGAUCCAUGUAAACUCUCGUUACCUCGACGGAGCUCUCUUCCUCUUCUUCAGCCUGCUUCAGUUUCUCUUCACUCCACUUCGCUCGCUGCUCCCUCCAGCCAGGUACUCUCCUGUCCUUCCACUUCCCUUUUGCAGGCACUUCGCUCUCUCUCUCUCUCUCUCUCUCUCUCUCUCUCUCUCUCUCUUAUGUUCUAUUGAGGGUAUUGCUUGAUUUCGUUGAUGCUAGAAUUCGUUCUCGAACGAGGCAAGAUUUGGGGUUCCAGGGCUCUGAUGAUGGGUUUUGAGUCCUGUGUUUGAUCGUGGUUUGAAUUUAUCUUCUUGGGUUCAAUCCUUUGCCCUCCUCUCCUUUUUUUUCCCCUUUUUGGGUCGUAAUCUUAUUGGGUUUUGGUUCGGCGUCCCUGUAAUUUGCAAGGUAUUCAAGAAAGACUGUAGAUGGUUGAGGUCGGUGUGAGAUGAGGGCACCUGUAAUCGCUAAGAAAAGAAAAUGGUCGCAGUUGUUCUAUGUUUUUUUUUUUUUUUUUUGCUUUCUUGUAUGAGGAUUUGAGACAAAGGGGAGUCUUGAAUAGGUCGAUUCAUGCCAAAUUACUGCAAAUAGUAGCUCUUCUGAGGAUCUUGUUAAUGGCGGAGUGUUUCUUGGAGAUGAUUGUUUCUUGAGGUAAGCUAGCUGAGCCUUUGUCAAUGUCAUUACAAGAGCCUGCUCCAAUGGUAAAGAUUCAUAAGUUCAGUUCUUAGAACAGUAGGCAAAAACAGUCACAGACUCGGAUUUGAUUUGAAGGUGGAGAAAGAAAAUCAUUGAAAAGUGAAGAACUAUGUUAGAGUGUAUGAUUAUUCUGAUGCAAGCUCUGUCUAUCCCCUGAUUAGUCGAAUCACGAAAUUCAAGAUGCGGCAUACAAGCAAAAUUAGUCUUUGAGAUAGCAAACAACAGGAGACAAAUUCGGUAAAAUCACCACUUACCUGCAAAGCUGCUUUUUGUGGAGGAGAUGACCUCAUAUAGGCUAUUACAAGCCUACACAUCAUCAUAUCUAGUGGUAUCUUGACAUCAUGGUGAGAAACCAGCCAAGGAAGACCUAAUGAACAUUAUGGGAAUUCGAAGAUCAAAUCAAUAUUAAUCUGCAACCCUUGCUAGGUUUUGAUUAAGGAUAAAACUUAGCAAACAACCACCGGCGGUGGUGGCGUAGGUGGUUGAGCAAGGGACUUCUCGCAAAAAGACCCGAGUUCGAUCCACGGCGUCGUCGAGUCUUAAGUGCAAGCCGCGUCUUAAGUGGGUUGCUGGGGUGGUGGGUCCUCCAGCUAGCAGCCCUCCAGGGUUUACUCUCCACCGCGAAGCGGCGUGCGGAGGUUCCCUAGAUUACCAAAAAAAAAAAAACUUAGCAAACUAAUAAGGCCAGGUUGCCAAUUACAAAUUGAUUGCUAUUCUUCUGUAUGUUAUUCUUUGUUUAAAUGGCUCUAUAGACUUACACAAAGCCUGGGCAGCCAUUGGUCUCCUUCUGUAAUUCUUGUUCAACAAUCUCUUCACAAAAUCAAUUGCUUUAGGGGAUCGAGAAGGCCAUGGGUCUUCAUCAAAACUUGGCUCUUCCUCACGAAUCGCCCAGAAUAUUUCAGAUUGAUUCUGCCCCCAAAAGGGUGGAUCACCACAUAGUAACAUAUAGGCAAUGACACCAAUACUCCACAUGUCUGCUUCAGUUCCGUAGAAUGCAUGUAGAACAUCAGGAGCUAUAGUAAAUUCGCUUCCCACAAAAUCCUUCAACUUGACAUUGCUUUGACUGCACUUUGCACAUUCUUAGAUCAAGAAUGGGAACCUUUCAAGUUUCUGCCUUUCUUUUUUCAUGCAUAACUAGCACUUAUGGCUUUUGAAAUUGAUUGUUCUGUUGUUGUAAUAAUUUGACAUCACUUUUCUUCUAUCCUGUUCGCUUGCUACGUUAAUUGUACUUAUUGUUCCUUGUGAUUUGGUCACUCCAGUGUCCUGCAUGCCCAACUUUUAUGUUUUUUUUUGCUCUUCUGCACUUUACUAUUGAAGCAGCUGCAAGCAUGAGAGUGAUUAUAGGAUGGUCUUAACUUUUUCGAGGUUCUUCAUUAUGGCUAUCGAUGCCUUAUAUAUAAACUAUUGUUUGGAAGAUAAAGUAGAAUAAACUUUUGCAUGCUGUGGGGUCUUCAUAGUUGUCUUUGUGAUAAUAUAUCGAAUGACCAAUGGACAAACAAAGGGGUUACUUAGAUGGUGAAUCUAUGUUGUGCGAUUCUAGUUAUUAAGAAAUACUCAUCAUUGCCAAGGUGGCAUGAGUUUACCUUCUUAAUGAUGAGCCAUGUUCAUCAUGUAAUUGUCUAAUGCGAAGUUUAAGCUUAUCUUUGCCCAAUGAUGGAUAUGUUUAGUUUGCACAUUCACUAUUAUUUUAGGUUUUGGAUGACCUAGUAUAAUGAAGGAUUUUUUUAUGCAAGUACAAUCUUUUUGCGUGUCUUUAUUUUUUCUCAAUGUUAGUUUUCUUUUCUUUAAGUGAAUAUCUUCUAGUUUUUUAAUAAGAGAGGGCCCGAGUGGUUGAUCUUGUUUGUUUGUCUCUUAAAUUUAUUCAUGUCACUUUACUAGUAGGAUGAGUUCAUCAAAGGAAAAUGCAUUUUGGAGCUCGGAAGAUGUAGAAAUCUUUUAUAAUUUGUGUAUCGAACAAAUUGAAAAAAACAAUCGUCCUGCAAAUAAUAAAAGAGAUGGAUAGACAGUCAUAAUUAGUAAGUUUGAGGAGCUAACGGAUAAAAAAUAUGAUAAACAAAAAAUGAAGAGUAAGUGGGAUAACCUCAAGGAAGAAUGGAAAAGAUGGAGGUCAUUGCUUUUCAAGGAAACUGGAUUAGGAUGGGAUUCAAGGAAGAAAACCAUUGAUGCGAGUGAUGAAUGGUGGGAGCGUAAAAUUCAGGUUUUCCUCCAUUCUUUUUAUUUUUUAUUUUUAUUUUUUAUUUUCAUGUUAAGCUCACCUUUAAUGAUACAACUUAUGUAAAUGCUUCAUUAUAACAGACCAAUCCAAAGUUUAAGACUUUUAGGAUGAAAGGCAUACAUCCUGAUCUUGAAGUAAAGUUAGAUAUGAUAUUCAGAGAUACAGUUGCUACUAGAGGAAUCACAUGGAAUCCCAAACAAGGUUUAUGUAUUGAUAAGAUGUGGAGAUCACACAACCUGGUAUCGAUGAUGUUGUAGGGUCUACUGAUGAAAACUUUGAGGAUCACAUGGAUGAAUCAACUGGAACUCAAACUCGUAAGAGAGCUACACAGACUUCAAAGAUGCAAGCUCGAGAAAAGAAAUAUAAGAAAUUGAGCACAAGAGAGGAGCUCAGAUCACAAAUUAACAGGCUGCUUACAGUUGUUGAUAGUAGGAGUACUACCAGCGCUGCAUCCAAUGCAACCGGUUUAGUCAAUCCUUAUGAGGACCUCAUAGAGAUAUUGGAUUCCAUACCUGAGAUUAUGGAAGACGAAGAUUUGUACUCUUUUUUUUCAAUUUCUCAUUUAAAGGAAAAGAUAUACAAUAGGCAAGUUUUCAUGAGCUUAAAGGAUAAUGCAAAGAAAGUAAAGUAUCUCAAAUAUGAAGUGAGAAAAGAAUCAAGUCUUCGUAGAUAGGAGAAUGUUAGCAUUUUAUUGUUUUCAUGUUUGAAACUUAGUCAUUUCACUUUGUUUCCAUCUAUGGAUCUUUCUUUGCAGCAUUUGUGAACCGAAUUUCAAUUAAUGUUUGAUGUUAGAAUUGUUUUCAUUUGGUGUUCUCUUAAUGUGAUAGUUUGCAUAUAUGCGAUGGUUAAUAUAUUGUUUAUGUUUAUAUUUUGUUACUUGAAACAGUUAUGGAUGAUUUAUGCGAUGGUUAAUACAUUGUUUCUUUUUAUAAUUUGUUACUUGAAGCAGUUAUGGAUGAUUCACAUACAAGGACAAAUCAUGAGUAAGAAGAAAAUGAAUUAUGAGAUCUUAUCUCAGUCACUGAAGCUGCAAUUCUUUAUCAAGCAACCAACCUUUGCAAACAACCUUGCAUGACCUUAACAUAUACAGGUUAUGUAUGGUUAAAAGAGUUGAUUGGCGAAUAUGCUAAUCCGAUAAGGUGCUACAAUAUGUUUAGAAUGCAUAAGAUUGUAUUUGACAAUUUAACGCAUGAUUUAGUAACACAUUAUAGCCCUCAAGGAUCUAGGAAUACUGAUGUUAGAGAAAUUGUUGGUAUGUUUCUUCAUAUUCUAGGGCAUGGUAUAAGGUUAUAGAUUAGCACAAGAGCAUUUUCAAUGCUUCGAGGAAACCAUAAGUAGGCACUUCAACUUAGUUUUAGAUAAAGUAUGUGAUAUGGGAAAAUUUUUGAUCCAACCAACUGAUCCACAAUAUAGAAAAAUUCUAGAGAAGAUCAAGAAAGAUCGGUGAUUUUAUCCAUAUUUUAAGGAUUGCAUUGGAGCUAUUGACGGCACACAUAUUCCAGCGGUUGUACAUAAGUAUGAUCAAAUUCGUUUUAUUGGUCGAAAAUGAACAACUCAAAACGUGUUAGCCAUAUGUAAUUUUAAUAUGGAAUUUGUCUAUGUUUGGGCUGGUUGGGAGGGACAAGCUCAUGAUACCCGUAUCUUUUAUGAAGCUAUUGGAAGACGUGAUACAGAUUUUCCCCAUCCUCCUCCAGGUAUGCUAGUCAAUGGUUUAGAUACAUUCAUAUAUCUAAUUGGCAUAUGUUGACUAAAUUUACAAUAUAUAUAUAUAUAUAUAUAUAUAUAUAUAUAUACAUGUAAAUAUUACUUAGUAGAUGCUGGAUAUCCAAAUCCUACUGGUUAUUUGGGGCCAUAUAAAGAAGUUAUAUAUUAUUUGCCAGAGUUUCAAGAAGGUCCUUCACCUACGGGAUAUCAAGAAGUGUUCAACCGUGCUUAUUCCUCACUACGCUCGACAAUUGAGCAGGCCUUUGGUGUAUUAAAAUAGAAGUGGAGGUUUUUAACUCAUAUGCCAAGUUAUCCAUAUGAAAAGCAAGUGCAAAUUGUGGUAGCGGUAAUGACUUUGCACAAUUAUAUCCAGAGAAAUAACGUGAUUGAUACGGAUUUUGAACAAGCAGAAUUGGAUCCCGAUUAUGGAUAUUCAAUUGACCAUGAUGAUGCAAAUGAAGGGGUGGGUGCUUCAAAUUCGUAUGCAUCUCCGGACAUUGCACUUUUACGUGAUGAAAUAGCCAUAAGUUUACAAAGUCGUUGAAGUUUGUAAUACUAAGUAUAACGUAUUUCUUUUUUCUGGAUAUAUAUGACCAUGUUUACUAUCAUGAAAUGACUAUUUUUAGUCAAAUUUGUAUGAGAUGAACUUGAUUUUAUUUCUCUUAAUUAGGACCUCCCUUUUUAUAUGUGGUGCUUACUAAAAAAAAUUAGCAUCUACAAUCGAUCACUUCACCAUCCACCGAAUAAGUUCAAUUUGUUUUAUAUCAUUUUAAUCUUUUGACAAUCAAUAGCCCCCAACUUUUUAUCAAUACACUAGAAUGAUCAUUAAUUAACGAAGAUGAUUAAUACUACAAUAAUUAAAAAAAAUAUUCAAAGUUAAAAACAAACCUAAAAGAACCUUAGGCUAAAAGUUAAGCUUUGCAUUUAAUCUAAAAUCAAAUUCUUUUAAUAUAAUUUUUAAUAAAUUUACUAAUAUGUAUAUUUUAUAUUACUCUCAACAUGAAAAUGUAAAAUGUUAUAUACCCAUUGUUUCUUUUUUGCAAUUUUAAAAAAACUAAAACUAAAACACUUAAUUUUAAAUGGUUGGCUUUUCAAAUGCAAGUUUACUGUACUUUUCAGUUUUAGUUUACCAAAUAGUCUAGCAUUUCAUAAAACCCUUUAUCUCAAAGGUAUUUGCAUUCUCCCAAGUGCAUUUUUCCAAAGCCGAACCAAACGAGCCCUAAAUAGAGGUACACGACCCUAUUCCAGAUUUAGAGAAACAACUCACCAAUGCUAGAACCACACACUUCUUGUGUCAGCGGCAUGACCGACGAAAUCACAAGGCUCGCAACUUGAACGGCGACGGUUCAUUGAAGUUGAGCUCAAAGCCAAGGGUGCUCGGCUUGAGCGGAUGGAGUGCAACGAUGAGGAUGAUGGUGAGCCGAGUGGAUGAUGAAGCUAUAGAAAAUGAAAGAAAAUAAAUGGAGGUGAAAGAAGGAUGGGGUGCUACAGUAGAAAUGGAGAAUGCGUGAGGGGGGAGAAAAAGAAAAGAAGAGGGGGGGGGGGGGGGUGAUGUCGUCCAGAGCCGAAAAGUGGGGAAGAGGAGAGAGAAAGAAUAAAGUAAUGGAGGGGAAGUUGCGGGGUAAUUGCAGUAGAAGGGUUGGCGAGGUGAGGGGGUGGAAAAGUGGGAGAGAGAGGGAGAAAAAGAAGAAAGAGAGAAGAAAAGACAGCAGAAGAAGUUACCGUAAG